rnacentral:rRNA from 1 species
UACGGGGGGGGCAAGCGUUGUUCGGAAUUACUGGGCGUAAAGGGCUCGUAGGCGGCCAACUAAGUCGGACGUGAAAUCCCUCGGCUUAACCGGGGAACUGCGUCCGAUACUGGAUGGCUUGAGUUUGGGAGAGGGAUGCGGAAUUCCAGGUGUAGCGGUGGAAUGCGCAGAUAUCAGGAGGAACACCAAUAGCGAAGGCAGCUCGCUGGGACGUUACUGACACUGAGGCGCGAAAGCGUGGGGAGCGAACAGG